rnacentral:lncRNA from 1 species
CGCGGCGGCAGAGAUAGAGAGCUCAAGACGAUGAUGCGAUGAUCAAAAGGAUUGCAACCAUAAUGAUGGAGGCCGGCUGCGACAGGACUGAGCUGUCUUCUCCCAGUUUGCUCUCAUCAAUGUCAAGUCUUCCCUGACAGACAGAGUGAGAUGGAAGAUGGAAGGAUUCCCCCCCCCCAAAUCGUACACCAACACUCCAUUUAAACAAAAGGCGCUAAUCCAUUCUAUGACGACGUCCUACGCAACCGUUUUCACUGUGGAUUAGCCUCACCGGGCUGCCUGAGCGUUUGCGGUUGAGUCUCUGCGAAUGUUCGUUGUUUGUGUUUGCUUGUUGUUUGCUGGUGUUUGUUUCUCAGCUUCUCUUGUUUGGCCAGGUGAUGUUUCCUGCUGGAGAGGCUGUCUGCGUUGAAUUCAGGCCUCAUGCUCCUGCUACAGUGGUCUGACUCAGUAGAGUCUACAGUUAUCGAGCUGCCUUGUGGCCUUGCUGCAUGAGAACCGAGCGAUUAAGGAAUCCUUUCCAGCUAAUCACCCUGGACUCCAGCACUUCCGCUGCGCUGAUUACUGAGGAAAUCAUUAGAAGAAAAAAGUGCCUGGAUCUUUCAUCGUGGCCAGCCCGACUCCAGGGAGGUCAGUGAGGGGUGUGUUUGAUAGGCCAUUUAGUCUUGCUGCUCCUAUUAUUCCAGCAUUUCCUCUAUCUGCACGCUGGAUGUGGAUGUCUUGCCUCCCCCAGACCCUAAUCAUUCCCAUACUGGUGUCUUGGAGUUUUGAGUUCACCCCAGACCUUCGUCUUCGUAGGGUUAGAGGGGCUCCUAGCUCCUAUCUCGCCCUCUCUUCCUCCCUCUUAGUCACCCCAUCCCCCCAAAACUGUCUGAUCCCAAGCACCAUGCAGCCUCUCAUGGGUACUAUCACAGAUGGCACUAACGACGUGGUCCCGAGCAGAGGAGGCGGUUCGCUGCUAGACUGGUGACAUAUGCUCGGUCGCAGGACGAUCAGCCGAGCAGAACACUGCCCAGACGUCCAAAAAGACAAUUCCCCCCCCACACACACACACACACACCCAAACACAACACAGCCCCCUCUAAAACAGACACUCACUGUCUUCUACUUCAGCCAGUGUUUUGUUUUGUUUAUCAUGGACCAGGCCCCCUCCAUUGUCUCCGCAGAACCCCCCUCUUGAUGGAUGACCUCCUAGUUCAGUGUUUAGGGUCCCUCCCCAGUGUCCCCUCUGUCCCCCUGGGAGGGCUGAGGAGGAUGGGGGUGACAGAACAAGUUAAUUUCCCAGCAUGCCGUGAGUGCAUACAGAGCAGAUAUCAUGAGGAUUUGCACAGAAGGGUGACAGAAUGUAUCAGCCAUGCUGAAUCUACUGAGAUAUAAUGGGAAGAGAACCUGCCCUACACGACUGUGUCCUGUGGUCAUUCUGCAGCUUUGUCUUGUCCAAAA